rnacentral:rRNA from 1 species
GACGAACGCUGGCGGCGUGCUUAACACAUGCAAGUCGAACGAUGAACUUGGAGCUUGCUCUGGGGGAUUAGUGGCGAACGGGUGAGUAACACGUGAGUAACCUGCCCUGGACUCUGGGAUAACUUCGAGAAAUCGGAGCUAAUACCGGAUAGGACCUUGCACCGCAUGGUGUGGGGUGGAAAGCUUUUCGGUUUGGGAUGGACUCGCGGCCUAUCAGCGUGUUGGUGAGGUAAUGGCUCACCAAGGCGUCGACGGGUAGCCGGCCUGAGAGGGUGACCGGCCACACUGGGACUGAGACACGGCCCAGACUCCUACGGGAGGCAGCAGUGGGGAAUAUUGCACAAUGGGCGCAAGCCUGAUGCAGCAACGCCGCGUGCGGGAUGACGGCCUUCGGGUUGUAAACCGCUUUUAGUAGGGAAGAAGCCUCUUGGGGUGACGGUACCUGCAGAAAAAGGACCGGCUAACUACGUGCCAGCAGCCGCCGUAAAAC